rnacentral:rRNA from 1 species
GUAGUCCACGCUGUAAACGAUGUAUGCUAGCUGUUGGCCCGUUAGGGUCAGUGGCGCCGCUAACGCAUUAAGCAUACCGCCUGGGGAGUACGGUCGCAAGAUUAAAACUCAAAGAAAUUGACGGGGACCCGCACAAGCGGUGGAGCAUGUGGUUUAAUUCGAGGCAACGCGAAGAACCUUACCAGGCCUUGACAUGGUUAGUAUGGAUUACAGAAACGUAGUCCUUCAGUUCGGCUGGCUAACACACAGGUGUUGCAUGGCUGUCGUCAGCUCGUGUCGUGAGAUGUUGGGUUAAGUCCCGCAACGAGCGCAACCCUCAUCUUUAGUUGCUACCAUUUAGUUGAGCACUCUAAAGAAACUGCCGGUGAUAAGCCGGA